GCCAUAUCGAAACAUUAUAUUUUGGAAGAGCGCGCGAGGACAAUAACUCUGAUUAGUGGUAUCACGGAAAGCGUUCAACACCGGUUUCCCGUUGUUCUUGUGGCAAGUUUGAAAAGUCCGAAAGAAAAAGGAAGAAAGGUAAUUAGUAACACAAAGUAAGAAGAAAUUCAAGAUAUCUUAUCAUACCUCGCACUUUUCAUUCACAAAAUAUCAACAUGUAGCUCUUGAUGAUUUUAAAAAAGCGUGUAAUCUAGACAUA